GAUGAAGAACGCAGCGAAAUGCGAUACGUAAUGUGAAUUGCAGAAUUCAGUGAAUCAUCGAGUCUUUGAACGCACAUUGCGUCCCCUGGUAUUCCGGGGGGCAUGCCUGUCCGAGCGUCAUUGCUGCCCUCAAGCACGGCUUGUGUGUUGGGCCUCCGUCCUCCUCCCGGGGGACGGGCCCGAAAGGCAGCGGCGGCACCGCGUCCGGUCCUCGAGCGUAUGGGGCUUCGUCACCCGCUCUUGUAGGCCCGGCCGGCGCUUGCCGACACAUCAAUCUUUUUUCCAGGUUGACCUCGGAUCAGGUAGGGAUACCCGCUGAACUUAAGCAUAUCAAUAAGCGGAGGA
rnacentral:misc_RNA from 1 species